rnacentral:lncRNA from 1 species
AAAAUGGGUUGUGCUGGCAGCAAAGCUGUGAGGACAUCUCUACACCUCCGAUGAGUUUGUCCACCUCUUCCCGCUACAACCAGUUUUCUUCCCCACUUUCCCGGUUCAUUUUCUGCCGUAUCUGUGGUGUGCAUCGUCUAUUCUUAAGUAGGUUUUCUUUUGGGUCUUUUUGUGUAGGUCCUAUUUAAUCAUAAAUGAAAAGCAGGAGGGCUUAGUGUCAAGCUCAGGUAGGAAGGAGAGCAGCAGCCAGAGCCCAGAG